AAGUGGUGACAGGUAAUAGCUCUGGUCGAGUGAAGGAC
rnacentral:sRNA from 1 species